rnacentral:rRNA from 1 species
UACGUAGGGGGCAAGCGUUGUCCGGAAUCAUUGGGCGUAAAGAGCGCGUAGGCGGUCCGGUAAGUCAGCUGUGAAAGUCAGGGGCUCAACCCUUGAAAGCCGGUUGAUACUGUCGGGCUAGAGUCCGGAAGAGGCGAGUGGAAUUCCCGGUGUAGCGGUGAAAUGCGCAGAUAUCGGGAGGAACACCAGUGGCGAAGGCGGCUUUCUGGAUCAAUACUGACGCUGAGGUGCGAAAGCGUGGGGAGCAAACAGG